UGAGGCCUCCAAAAACCAAAUGGAACAAUUCUACACACUCCCGCUAAAAACAUUCAAAAACAAUCUUAAUCCCUCCAAAAAGCAUUUUAAACAACAUAUAUCUGAUAUAAACAAAAACAAAAAACUAAUCUACAAACAAAUAACCACCCACCCACCUUAAAAAAAGCAUGUGGUUAUUUGUUUCUCCUCUCCUUCUUUCUGUGUGACAAGGGUAUGGUGGGUGACUCGGAAACUACAGAAGCUGUUUUGAAAGAUGCUGUGAAUUUUCAAGGGAAGAGAUCAAGCUCUUAGCUGUCAACUUGUGGGAGUGCAAAUGUUUUGGAGAGAUUGAGGGUCGGCAUAGAUUUGGAGCCUACCUGAGAAAUAUGCAAUACAGAGUACGUACCUCUUAUUCCAACUCCGAGAAAGACAAACAAGGCUUGCAAUCGGUACGGGUUCGAUACCCGAAUUCGUGUCACGUCGGGUCGACACGAGUAUGAGCCAAAAAGUGGCGUGUCGAAGUAACACAACAUAGGAGUAUCUUGAUAAAUGAUAGGUGAAGUCUUAUGGAACAGACAUAUUAUGGCUUGUGCAUGUUCCUAUUCUCACUGUUUUCAUUUGAUUUGAUUACAUAUACAUUAUUGUCCUUGAAAAUAGUUGGCCUUUUAUUUCUAUCAUCUAUUUGAUUUGAUUACAUAUACAUUA